AACGAACGCUGGCGGCAGGCCUAACACAUGCAAGUCGAACGAGAAGCCACCUUCGGGUGGUGGACAGUGGCAGACGGGUGAGUAACGCGUGGGAACGUGCCUUUCGGUUCGGAAUAACCCAGGGAAACUUGAGCUAAUACCGGAUACGUCCGCAAGGAGAAAGAUUUAUCGCCGAAGGAUUGGCCCGCGUCUGAUUAGCUUGUUGGUGAGGUAAUGGCUCACCAAGGCGACGAUCAGUAGCUGGUCUGAGAGGAUGAUCAGCCACAUUGGGACUGAGACACGGCCCAAACUCCUACGGGAGGCAG
rnacentral:rRNA from 1 species